UACGUAGGGGGCAAGCGUUGUCCGGAAUCAUUGGGCGUAAAGAGCGCGCAGGCGGCCCUGUAAGUCUGCUGUGAAAGUCCAGGGCUCAACCCUGGGAUGCCGGUGGAUACUGUCGAGCUCGAGUCCGGAAGAGGCGAGUGGAAUUCCUGGUGUAGCGGUGAAAUGCGCAGAUAUCAGGAGGAACACCAAUGGCGAAGGCAGCUCGCUGGGACGUGACUGACGCUGAGACACGAAAGUGUGGGGAUCAAACAGG
rnacentral:rRNA from 1 species